rnacentral:tRNA from 1 species
GGAAGGGUGUCCGAGUGGUUUAAGGAACCGGUCUUGAAAACCGGCGUACGGUGAUACCGUACCGUGGGUUCGAAUCCCACCCCUUCCGCCA